GCUGUGGUGUCUCUCUGCCUCCAGCCCAAUGCACACAGAAUCAGAGGGGCACACACGCUGUAUUGAGAAGCUCAAUGAGUUCGGCGUGGGCAGGCUGCCGCCUCCUUCUCAGACGAGCCCCAAGUUAUGUGUGCCAGACUCGUGUGUUUGGGUAAUGGCAGUGACCCCAGUGCACAAGAUGACUGCACAGCUGAGAAAUGCCUGGUUUCUUCAUUUCCUGUGGAACACGCACAGAGUUUAACCUGGGCUAGAGGCAGCCAACAGAGCUGAGAAGAGAACAGGAAAAAACUAUUUGGAAAGCUGCAGGGGAAAAGCAGUUGCUGACAAGAUCUGAAAAGAACAGGUAGUAUGAGCUACCACUGAUUUCCUCCUACUGUAAAUGUAUGGCUUUGGGUCAUGGAUAGCUAAAAAUAAUCCCGAAUUCCUGGUUUUCUUAAUGCCUGCAUGGCCCUGAAGAAUCUGUGCCACAGGUCCUUUUCUAUUGUUCUGUCAGCAACGGUACCUGCAUCGAUUUGAGCUCAGAUGCCGAAAACCAUUUAGACACAAGAAAGAAACAGGGGAAGGAUAGUCAAUGGAACAGUAAGAAUUUGACUCCACAGAUCUCCUCUUGUGCAUAAACAUGACUGAAAAAAAAGCCCUUUUUCUUCCUUGGAAACUUACUUGAAUUUCAAUCACUCCACACUUGUGUGUCUGGCUAGUGUCCUGUCCUUGUUUUAUAUUCAUCAAGAACAAUGAGUCUAUGCAAUAAAAAGAACCUUAAAACACGAGCAGCGUGCAGCCAGAAUAUGUAACUCAUGUUUAUUCCUUUUGUGAAACAGAAGGCAGCUUUUUUGCAAACUGGGAGCAGGCUCGUUUUUGGUUGUAACACACCCACACAGGCCAUGAGCCUUCAUGUCCAUUUAUGGCUGGUUUUAAAGUUC
rnacentral:lncRNA from 1 species